CAGUAGCCGCGGGAAUACGUAGGUGGCAAGCGUUGUCCGGAAUUAUUGGGCGUAAAGGGCUCGCAGGCGGUUUCUUAAGUCUGAUGUGAAAGCCCCCGGCUCAACCGGGGAGGGUCAUUGGAAACUGGGAAACUUGAGUGCAGAAGAGGAGAGUGGAAUUCCACGUGUAGCGGUGAAAUGCGUAGAGAUGUGGAGGAACACCAGUGGCGAAGGCGACUCUCUGGUCUGUAACUGACGCUGAGGAGCGAAAGCGUGGGGAGCGAACAGGAUUAGAUACCCGCGUAGUCCCUGUCUCUUAUAC
rnacentral:rRNA from 1 species